CAAGAAAAGUGCCAGUGCACACAGUGAAUAACGGACUUGGACUGAGAACCCCGGGAUCGAGAUUCCAGAACCCGUGCUUUGAACACGGCAUCACACUGCCUCCCGCUCUGCUGUAUUGGGGAGUAGAUUUAAGGACACACCAGGACAGAGUUCAUCAGGAGAGACAAAGAGCAACAAAUUCUGUUGGACUUUGAUUUUUCCAGUAUGUGAGUUGAAUGCUGUGUGUGUGUACCUGUCCUUCCCUGACCCGCAAAGCAGGCACGUUUGUUUACAAACCGGGUUUUCUAGAACGCCCUCGAAGCUGGAGCAGACUGUGAGUGAGGGUGCUUCCUUGAGCCUGAGUGGCAGGCGCGGUUGUGCAGGAGUUGUACAGGAGUUCAGGAGUGUCUCUCAGCUGUUUUGUCUUACAGUGUGGAGAAUGGGAAGAGAGGAGAAAGUGCCGUGUGAAGAUGCUGGCUGAGACGCUUGGGAUGAUGGCAGCUUGUUAGUGUGCCCGAUAACCAUCAAGAACAGAGGGGGCUAUAAGUCACUUUACAAAGAGUCAAUCAAUUUGUGUUGGAAUAAUUAAAUUUACUUCUCUGAGGGGAGGAACCUGACUGUUCAGUUAUGUGAGCUCCAUUUCUUCCUCAGAUCAAGGAAAUUUGAGUUAAUUUGCAUCCUCCUGAGGAAGCUGCUUUGCUUCCACAUAAGGCUGUUUCCUGCGAUUCCUCCCAGGGCACUGGCCCCCAGCAGUCAGACUGCACAAGCCAGGAAGGUGUCCUGUUAGCAGUGCCCUCAGAUCUUUAUCCACGGGGAUCAGCAGUGGCUCCCACAGACUGUGGAAGGCCCCCCUCCAGGAGUGACAGUGUCUGGGAGAGUGAUGGUAGCCUCUUUUCUCCUUGGCCUUGGGGACCUCUGCCUGAGGCAGCUUCCUGUUUGCCCUGAGCCUUUGAUGGCAGUGGCCCAGCUGGGGUCACAUGCAGCCUGGGUUAAAUGAGACCACUUUCUACUGCCAACUGGACUCGGGGCUUUAAAAUUAAUUAUUAUUUUUUUUUAAAUCAUUAAACUUUAGAACUGAACUAUGGAAUGAAGCUGGGAUUUGAGUGUGAAAUGCAUUUGUGUCCCUGUGGCAUCUCUUCCUCCGAGUUAUGUGGACAUGGCAGGUCGGGGGGCGCCCAGUAAAUAUUUGUUGAAUGAAGUUGCAAUGUAUUCACCAAAAUUCUAGGAGGC
rnacentral:lncRNA from 1 species